rnacentral:lncRNA from 1 species
UUUUUGAAUUUUCUUUUUAAUAAAAAGGCACCUAUAAAACAGGGCAAUACAGUACAGGCUGCACAGAGACCCCCGGAACAAGCCUAAAAAGUGUUUCAAAAUAAAAACCAGGAAGAUGUCUUCACAUAUUGUAUUUAUAUAUUUAUAUUUUAUAUAUAUAUUUAUAUAAUGGUACAAAAUGGCUGGGGUAUGGCCAUGGAUGGAGGGGAGAAGGCUGGCCUGUGGACUUCACCUUAGGAAGCUAGUGGUGGAGGUGGGAGACGAGGGCACAAGAAGGGGGCAUCAGGCCCUUUGUGGCCUGAGCCCUCUCCUUGGAGCAGGACAGGCUAGACAGUUUGGGCAGGGUGGGGAUGUGGGUGGGAGCAGGGAGGGCAGUGUCUGGCAGGAAGGACAGGUUUCUACCCACCUCUCAACACAAGAGACCUUGGCUAUGGUCCCGGGGAGGGGCAGGGGAAGCCAGGGGCCUGCAGCCAGCUCUGGAGGGGCUUGGUGCCUGACCUGGCUGACAGUGGACAGCACCAGACUGGGAGAAGUGGGCACAAACUCCCUUUGUAUUACAGCUGCCAAGGCAAAACCAGGCCCUGCAGGUCAGAAAGGCUGGGGACAGACAGGGCCCUAGUAAAAGACACCCUGUCUAGAAUGGCCCUUGGCCCUGGAGGCAGGGCAGGAAAGGCCUUAGCCAGGGAGCUGCCCGCCACCUAACAAGGCAGGAAAGGAAGUGAGAAAAACACAAGUAGUUUACUCCUGGGGCCAAAGGAGACAAAACACCCAUUCCUGUAUGGCUUCAGUCUGACCAGUGGCGGGUGAGGGGCUCUCCUGGGAAGUAAGAGGGGAGGCAGUGGCUGUGCCUGGUGGUCAUAGUCAGAUCUGGUACAUGGCCCUGAGCCCUGGACAGAAAGACCUUGCCAGAGAGUAGACAGGGGGGGAGGCAGCAGGAUGUUCUCCCCCACACUGCCUUCCCUCACUCCGAGAUAGAAGUGGAGGCUGGAGGGCCAACUCUGUUCCUUCCUUCUUUGGUGAGAAGCAAGUGGUGGUUUCUAGAAGAGUCCAUGCCCUGAGGGGUUACCUGGCCC